rnacentral:rRNA from 1 species
UGAGGGAAUAUUUGGGUCAAUGGGCGAGAGCCUGAACCAGCCAAGUAGCGUGCAGGACGACGGCCCUAUGGGUUGUAAACUGCUUUUAUAUGGGGAUAAAGUGAGUUACGUGUAGCUUAUUGCAGGUACCAUAUGAAUAAGGACCGGCUAAUUCCGUGCCAGCAGCCGCGGUAAUACGGAAGGUCCAGGCGUUAUCCGGAUUUAUUGGGUUUAAAGGGAGCGUAGGCCGCCCCUUAAGCGUGUUGUGAAAUGCCGCGGCUCAACCGUGGCACUGCAGCGCGGACUGGGGGGCUUGAGUGCACGCAACGCAGGCGGAAUUCGUGGUGUAGCGGUGAAAUGCUUAGAUAUCACGAAGAACUCCGAUCGCGAAGGCAGCCUGCGGGAGCGCAACUGACGCUGAGGCUCGA